CUCUCACUCACAUUACAUUGCAUAAAAAAAAUUAAAUGUCAUAAUUUAAUUUAACUAACCAACAUUCACAUCCCUUCAUGUCUAAGACUCUAAAAACUCUCACUCAGCAAAAGCAAUAAAUAAUUAUUUAGAGAGCAGAGAGUUGAUAUGUGUGGCUAUGUUUUGGGCAUCAAAUGCAAUCCCAUAAAGUCCUCUUCUUGAUAACCCCACACAAUAGAGUCCAUUCUUCCCCUUCCAAUGUUGUGGAAAUUCUGGCUUUGGUAAUCCAUCUUCAUUCAGCAGAUAAUCAUCUCCCUACACAAUAAACACAUAUAGAAUGCAAAAAAUAAAAUAAAAUUUAGAAUCAUCUGAACUUAUUAUCUUUUUCUUCAAAAACAAAAUUAGAAAACAGAAGAAAAUCACACAACAAAGAAGACAAUUUAAUAUUAUUAUUAGAAUAAAAAAGAAAAGUUUACUUACCUGAAGCCACUUGUGAAUAGUUC
rnacentral:lncRNA from 1 species